CCUACGGGUGGCAGCAGUGGGGAAUAUUGGUCAAUGGCCGAAACGCUGAACCAGCGACGCCGCGUGAAGGAAGAAGGAUCUCGGGUUUUUAAGCUUCUUUUAUAGGGGAGUAAAGGUAUCCACGUGUGGAUAUUUGCAUGUACCCUAUGAAUAAGCAUCGGCUAACUGCGUGCCAGCAGCCGCGGUAAUACGGAGGAUGUGAGCGUUAUCCGGAUUUAGUAGGGGUAAAGGGUGCGUAGGUUGUUUUUUAAGUCAGCGGUGAAAGUUUGUGGCUCAACCAUAGAAUUGCCGUUGAAACUGGGAGACUUGAGUGUGGGUGAGGUAGGCGGAAUGCGUAGUGUAGCGGUGAAAUGCGUAGAUAUUACGAAGAACUCCGAUUGCGAAGGCAGCUUACUAAACCAUAACUGACACUGAAGCACGAAAGCGUGGGGAGCAAACAGGAUUAGAUACCCUUGUAGUC
rnacentral:rRNA from 1 species